UGAAUUACCUAGGGAGAUACCACGGUCACAAAGAUGUUGGUUUUCCAAGGCGAGGCUUAUCCAUUGCACUCUGGAUAUACUGACCCCUGCUAUUUCCCCAAAUUCAGGAAACUUGACUGCAUAAUUUGUGAUAGAGGGGUACUGCAUUCACACUCUCCCCAU